ACUAUUUUAAAACUUUUAUUGAUCUUUCUCUGACUUAAACAUAUGGUGUGCCUUCGCAAGUACUCAAUCUCGUGUGUCUUUGGAGUCUGAACGAAGACGACGAUGUCUUAACCGUUAAAGGAGAUUAUCAUCAAGCAUCAGCACACACAAUUACCAAUUGAUCCGAAAAAUAGAUGCGCUACCUGAUAGGAAGAAGCUACAGCAGGCCCAAGAGGGCAAUCAGGAGGCCCAUCUACCUUGAAGGUCUUAGUACCGCUUGCAAAAUCAGCUAGAGAAACUAUUAAUGGAAUUCUGUUAUUAGUGGAUUAGCAAUUCUGUUAUGCUUUUUGUCAUCUUGGGAAUGGCUAAGGAUCAUCCUUUCUGCCUUUGUACCCGUGUAAUAGCUUAUAAAUACUUGAAGGAUCAAUAAAAUGAGCAAGUAUUAUUCUA